rnacentral:rRNA from 1 species
GCAUAUCAAUAAGCGGAGGAAAAGAAACCAACAGGGAUUGCCUCAGUAACGGCGAGUGAAGCGGCAAGAGCUCAAAUUUGAAAUCUGGCCCCUUCGGGGUCCGAGUUGUAAUUUGUAGAGGAUGCUUCGGGUGCGGCCCCCGUCUAAGUGCUCUGGAACGGGCCAUCGGAGAGGGUGAGAAUCCCGUCUGGGACGGGGUGUCCGCGUCCAUGUGAAGCUCCUUCGACGAGUCGAGUUGUUUGGGAAUGCAGCUCUAAAUGGGUGGUAAAUUUCAUCUAAAGCUAAAUACUGGCCGGAGACCGAUAGCGCACAAGUAGAGUGAUCGAAAGAUGAAAAGCACUUUGAAAAGAGAGUUAAACAGCACGUGAAAUUGUUGAAAGGGAAGCGCUUGCGACCAGACUCGCUUCCGGGGUUCAGCCGGCUUUCGGGCCGGUGUACUUCCCCGGGGGCGGGCCAGCGUCGGUUUGGGCGGCCGGUCAAAGGCCCCUGGAAUGUAACGCCCCUCGGGGCGCCUUAUAGCCAGGGGUGUCAUGCGGCCAGCCUGGACCGAGGAACGCGCUUCGGCACGGACGCUGGCAUAAUGGUCGUAAACGACCCGUCUUGAAACACGGACCAAGGAGUCUAACAUCUACGCGAGUGUUCGGGUGUCAAACCCGUGCGCGCAGUGAAAGCGAACGGAGGUGGGAGCCCCCUCGAGGGGCGCACCAUCGACCGAUCCUGAUGUCUUCGGAUGGAUUUGAGUAAGAGCGUAGCUGUGGGGACCCGAAAGAUGGUGAACUAUGCCUGAAUAGGGCGAAGCCAGAGGAAACUCUGGUGGAGGCUCGCAGCGGUUCUGACGUGCAAAUCGAUCGUCAAAUUUGGGUAUAGGGGCGAAAGACUAAUCGAACCAUCUGGUAGCUGGUUCCUGCCGA